CCACGACGUUCCUGAGACCCACCUUUAGAUUAAAUACAAUGGUUGCCUACAACUAUUAUGCUUAUCACUUAUUUUAACAAUUUAUCUGUUUUCUACCUCAGCUUUUAACCACUUUUAUACCCACUUAAAAACCAACGUACCCCAAUGGUCGACCAUAGUUAGGAAUGGCUACAUAUUGGACUAAGUUACAUAACAAAAUUUUGCUACAAAACAAGCAAAAAAAUUGUCGCAAUUUAUAAAGCAUUUGCUCAUACUCUCGUAUUUCGGACUUGGAUUGAAUCGAACUCCAUCGAACUUUGCGUAGGGUCCAAGUCUGAUCUGCCUCCUAUUCGGAUUCGGACUAAUUUUAAACGAAUUCGGAUCGUAGACUUAUUCAAAUCAAAUUCCGCCCUAGGUUUUAGCCUAAGGGAAGAAGCCCAUACAAAUUCGUUCAUUGCAAUUACCUAUAUCCCACCUUACCACCAAAUGGACUAUGGUAUUCUAUGCUCUUUUCACAUGACAAAGCUUACAAUCAAUAAACAACUUAACUAGCAAUCUAACGUCAACAUAACCAGCCAUAUCAGAGUCUACAAAAAACAUGAUAGCCAAACCUUUAAACUGUAUGGCUAGUUCACCUUUCCAACUAGCCACAAAACAUUGCCCCUACCAUCCCUCGCCACAACCCUUAAGUAUCGUAGCUAUUGUUCACGGUUCCCAUAGGCGGGCAAACCAACGAUCUUAGGAGACGUUAUGACUCUCAACUAGAACACACCAUAAUAGGCGUGGACAUUUGUUCUUGCAAUACCAUAUAGACCAAGCCAAUAUGGUUCGUCACUCAUUCCUAUCUACUUUGCUUGCUACAUAAGAGCUACGUCACUUGCAUCCUAUAUAUGUUUUGCAUUUGCACAAUGGAAGAGUACAUGAGAUUAUAACUCAAUUUCCACUUCGCAUGAGCUGCACAUUUACAAAGGCGCAAUGUUACGUCCAGACAAAUCCCAUUGAAACACCAAGGCUUUUCUUACAUGCUCUCCAAACAAAGGUAGAGAGCUUUGGGAGUUCGCUCGGCCCCAAACUAGCUUCCCCAUUCUCAUAACACUAUCGUUUUGGCAAGCAAUACCCAUAUACUCCCACCGCAUCUUCCCCAACAAGUAAGUUGACUUCCACUAAAUCACCAUUUGAAAAGGGCCACCAGAAACACGUCUUUCGAAUUUGCAGUAGCUAGAGGUAAUUGCAAAUCAAAGAGCUCACACCGCUAGUAAUUAUACAUAUAUUUUCGACAUGACUCGUUCACCACAUUUAUUAUUAAUCAAGGCAGCCACUCAAAUCUUGGGCUUAAAAAGUGAAUGUUGCAUGCGGGAAUUGCAUGAUUUGGAAUACCAAGGAUCCACCCAUCAGUCAAAACCUUAAUAUCCUCACCAGUACCCACUUUCUAUUUUAGCCACUCAAACAUAAAAGAUUUCGAGCCCCUUAUACUCCUUGAAGAGUAGCUCGUAUCAUAUCCUCUAGGUUCGUAAAAAACCAAACCAUUUUUGAAGUAACAAGCCUUCAUACAAUAAAUUAGUGAAUCUUGGUUUGUGUUUAGGCACAAGACUUGGUUAGCCAAAAGUGCAUGAUUUAAGAUAUUGAGAUCCCAUGCCAACCAUCACCUUUCGAUUACAUAGUGCAUACCGACUGAGCCGGUGCAUCUUAAUAUUUAUUCCACCUCUAUAUUACGCUUCCCACCUUUCCCAAUACCUAAUGGAAAGGGAAAAUCUAUUAUUGGACCUAGGGGUGCUAAUCGAGCAAUGUUCGUUUAAGUUAAUUCAAACUCGAGCCGAGCUCGAAUUUUUACGACUCUGAUUAUCUCUACCCUCGGUAGCUUACGAGUUUACGUCCAUCCCUGAACUUUGACCGAGCAUCGAUCGAGCCAAACUCGAAUUGUUCAAACAAAAAACCUUUGGCUAAUGAUUAUCAUUAGUUUUUUUACUUUUCUUUAAUUUUCGUGAUUAAAAUUUUAAUUUCACAAUGAGUUUAUUUUUUGGAAAUUUUACAUUAAACCACCUUUUAUAAACUUUUUUUUUUGCAAGAAACCACCUUAUAAAUUUUUUUUUCGCAAAAUCAAACCUUAAUCCUAAAACUUUUUGCAAGCCCACACCUUUUCCCGAAAAAUACUCUUUGACCUUGUUUUCAGGGGUUGACCCGACUGCGUGCCCAUCACAUGCCCCCCUAAAACCACUAAUCCUCCCUCUCUCUUCUAAUUUUACCCAAUUUUUCCCUCCUACACCAAUUACCCUCUUUUUUCCCUCUCUUUCUCUCUCCUUCUUCACUGUUCUUUCCCCCCUCAAAUUAAAAGCGAUUUUUUCUUCUCCUCAUUAACUCUCUGCUGCUCUGCCAUGGGUGCCAAGAAUUGAAUGCUUCUAAUUUGAGUUAAAUUGCUGCCCUUAGUUGAAACAUGACAUCCAUAAUUGACCGCUAUAAUAAGGCGAAAGAGGAGGAAAAUCAACUGGUGAAUCCAAAUUGUGAGCUAAAGUUCUGGCAAAAAGAAGUGGCAAUGCUCAGGCAGCAACUGCAGAUCUUACAAGAAAGCCACCGGAAAAUUAUGGGGGAAGAGCUCUCUGGUCUGACAAUCAAAGAUCUACAGAAUCUUGAAAACCAACUCGAAAUGAGUUUAAGAGGAGUCCGUAACAAAAAGGAUCAACUGUUGAUAAACGACAUACAAGAGCUAAAUCAAAAGAGGGAGCUCAUUCGCCAAGAAAAUGUGGAGCUAUACGAAAAGGCAAAUACUAUUCGUCAAGAAAAUAUAGAGCUGUACAGAAAGGUAUAUGGAAAUGGAGAUACAAGUGCAGCCAAUGGUGCCAUGCUCAUUGAUGGUGAAGACAUGGAAGAGGAUUCAAACGGACCUAUCCAUCUACAGCUUAGUCAACCACAGCAGCAAACCCAUGCAUCACCAGGGGCUAUCAAGUUGGGCAGACUACAACUGUACUAGACAAGAUGGCUUAGUUGGAAAUACACUCCUGGUCACAAUUCCCAAGGUACAUGGUCUAUCAGCUCAAAUGUGCACUGAACAGACAGACUAUGGAUGAAGAUAGACACAGACUGGUCCUGAAAUUAAUAAAGAAACUGCAAGAAAGAAGUCAUUGUUGCAUAAGAGGGUUGAAGAUUUGGAAUAUCAAGACAAAGUUUGUGUUCAUAUUCCCAAUACCAAAUGUAAGGACCCAUGAGACUUAUGAUGUUUAAACAUCAAUUAUGUAUAUGGUUUGUUGUUAGUGGAUAAGAAAAAGAUAAUUAUGUUGAUGUUACAAAUUUAUUAAUAUGUAGAGAUGAUUGUUGUUGCACAUGUCUCAUGGCUUAUUGUUAAUGAUAUUUUUCAUAUUUUUAAAAUUAAACAAUAUUUAAAAAGAAAUUCCUUCCACCGGCCUAAAACAAUAUCAACUAUCUAAAAAGCUACCUAUAUUGUAAAUGUUAAGUUUUAUUACCUGCUACAAGAAUAAUCUUUAAUAGAAAUUUAUAAAACCCAACGUAGCACACAAAGAUGAAAAUCAAUAAAUACUUCCAUAACAUAAUUUAUCAAGUAAAAUUUUAGUACACUAUAGAUAAAAGUGUAGUGGCUUUGAAAACCAAAGAACUACAAGCCCCGUACCACCAUUGUAAACUUCAAAAUUUGACCAUUGCAUGAACAUAGAUGAUAGAGAUGUAAUUACUUUGGAGAUUAUCAAAACGUUCAAUAAAAGAAUUUGAUAGGACACAUAAUGAACUAUUAUAAAGAAGAAAAAAUAAUUUUAAGGGAAAAUGAAAAAGAAUAGUAUACCAAAUGAAAACAACCAAUGUCGAGAUAUGAGGUGUGGUGAAGCAUAGAGGAUUUCCACAUUAUAAUUGGAUUGAAUUAUGUCAUUCUAUUCUAAGUCCUUUCCUCUUUGUACAAGUUUAGGAGUUCUCGAGGUUCUUUGAUUAUGUAAUUUGGUACUUCCUCCAUUACUAUUAUUUUUUCAUAUUGUAUCAUGUAAGAGAUUUUUAAUUUAUGUUUUAAUUUCUCAUAAAGUAACCUCAAAAUUGUACUUUAUAUUUGGUUGAGGGAAAAAAAAUAAAAAUAUAUCAAUGGUAACACUCAUUUGUUGGUUAAUAUCAUUCUUAAGGUUUAACACCUAAAUGUAUCAUUAAUUGCCCACCACAAUUAGCAUUUAUAUGGUUAAAGCCUCUCCUUCACUGUUUUCCUUCUCUCUCCUCAUCCCACUUCCAUUUCUAACUACAUCUCUUUGACACAUAACACGUCGACAUCUUCCAUCCCCAAACUCAACCAUUUACGGUCAUUCACCCAUUUCUAAUAGUUUCCCACAUGUUCUCUCCUGUCUUCAUCCUCCAUCUCUAACUUCCCACCCCGAACCCCAUUUAAAUUCACCCUAACACCUCAUCAUCUCCUUCAUAGGGUUUAAUUAUGCACAAUUUGUCAUUUGCACCUAACACGCACAGUUUUGAUGUUGCCAAGGAUGCUUCUUAAUUAUUGCCUUUAGUUCAAAGAAUUGCUAUCAACGUGCUCUUAUCCUUGUCGUUGUUCUUGUGAAUGUAGUGUCACUUAAAAAAUAAAAAUAAAAAAACAUCUUUUUAAAAGAUAAUGAUUUUUAUGAGAUUUUGAUUGUUUAUACGCUUUAAUUUUUUUUACUUUCUUAUUUAAUUUGAUAGUUUGUAAGCAAGAACUCUAGGUCAACGUUACAAGGUUUGCUGGUGGUCGCGAACCAGAACGCUGAAGGUGGCGACUCCUAGUUGUGGCUGAGCAAACACGGUUGUUCUUCCUCUGC